GAUGAACGCUGAUAGAAUGCUUAACACAUGCAAGUCAACUUGAAUUUGGGUUUUUAACUUAGAUUUGGGUGGCGAACGGGUGAGUAACGCGUAAAGAACUUGCCUCACAGCUAGGGACAACAUUUAGAAAUGAAUGCUAAUACCUGAUAUUAUGAUUUUAAGGCAUCUUAGAAUUAUGAAAGCUAUAAGCACUGUGAGAGAGCUUUGCGUCCCAUUAGCUAGUUGGAGAGGUAACAGCUCACCAAGGCGAUGAUGGGUAGCCGGCCUGAGAGGGUGAACGGCCACAAGGGGACUGAGACACGGCCCUUACUCCUACGGGAGGCAGCAGUGGGGAAUAUUGGACAAUGGACCGAGAGUCUGAUCCAGCAAUUCUGUGUGCACGAUGAAGUUUUUCGGAAUGUAAAGUGCUUUCAGUUGGGAAGAAAAAAAUGACGGUACCAACAGAAGAAGUGACGGCUAAAUACGUGCCAGCAGCCGCGGUAAUACGUAUGUCACGAGCGUUAUCCGGAUUUAUUGGGCGUAAAGCGCGUCUAGGUGGUUAUGUAAGUCUGAUGCGAAAAUGCAGGGCUCAACUCUGUAUUGCGUUGGAAACUGUAUAACUAGAGUACUGGAGAGGUAAGCGGAACUACAAGUGUAGAGGUGAAAUUCGUAGAUAUUUGUAGGAAUGCCGAUGGGGAAGCCAGCUUACUGGACAGAUACUGACGCUAAAGCGCGAAAGCGUGGGUAGCAAACAGG
rnacentral:rRNA from 1 species